GACGAACGCUGGCGGCGUGCCUAACACAUGCAAGUCAAGGAGAAUUCCCGACUUGUCGGGAUAGUAAACUGGCGAACGGGUGAGUAACACGUAGGUAAUCUACCCUCGGGAUCGGGAUAACCUCGCGAAAGUGGGGAUAAUACCGAAUAAAGUCUCGGUAUAAUUUGUCGAGAUGAAAGAUGGGGAUCUUCGGACCUAUUACCUGAGGAUGAGCCUGCGCCUGAUUAGCUAGUUGGUAGGGUAAAUGCCUACCAAGGCAACGAUCAGUAGCUGGUCUGAGAGGAUGAUCAGCCACAUUGGGACUGAGAUACGGCCCAGACUCCUACGGGAGGCAGCAGUGAGGAAUUUUGCGCAAUGGGCGAAAGCCUGACGCAGCAACGCCGCGUGACUGAUUAAGCUCUGAGGAGUGUAAAAGUCUGUCGUAGAGGAAGAAACUAUCCGAUAAGAAUAUUGUCGGAUACUGACGGUACUCUAUGAGAAAGCUCCGGCUAA
rnacentral:rRNA from 1 species